GAAGGAGAUGAGGAGGGCGAUGGAGGAGAUGAAGAUGUCUGUGGUAAGAGAGGUGGAAGAAAAUGAGAAGAGCUUCACUGCUCUGAUACAGUGUAUUGAGGAAGCCCACAGGAAACUGACUGAGAGGAUCAGAGAACAAGAAAAGAGAGAAA